rnacentral:snRNA from 1 species
CGGCAAGAUAUUGUGUCUAUAU